rnacentral:rRNA from 1 species
UGCCAGCAGCCGCGGUAAUACAGAGGGUGCAAGCGUUAAUCGGACUUACUGGGCGUAAAGGGUGCGUAGGCGGUGAUAUGAGUCAGCUGUGAAAGACCUGGGCUUAACCUGGGAUGGUCAGUUGAUACUGUAUUACUCGAGUCGAACAGAGGGGAGCGGAAUUUCCGGUGUAGCGGUGAAAUGCGUAGAUAUCGGAAGGAACACCAGUGGCGAAGGCGGCUCUCUGGGUUCAGACUGACGCUGAGGCACGAAAGCGUGGGUAGCGAACAGGAUUAGAUA